UCGAUUCCCUUAGUAGCGGCGAGCGAAACGGGAAGAGCCCAAACCAACAAGCUUGCUUGUUGGGGUUGUAGGACACUCUAUACGGAGUUACAAAGGACGACAUUAGACGAAUCAUCUGGAAAGAUGAAUCAAAGAAGGUAAUAAUCCUGUAGUCGAAAAUGUUGUCUCUCUUGAGUGGAUCCUGAGUACGACGGAGCACGUGAAAUUCCGUCGGAAUCUGGGAGGACCAUCUCCUAAGGCUAAAUACUCUCUAGUGACCGAUAGUGAACCAGUACCGUGAGGGAAAGGUGAAAAGCACCCCGGAAGGGGAGUGAAAUAGAACCUGAAACCGUGUGCUUACAAGUAGUCAGAGCCCGUUAAUGGGUGAUGGCGUGCCUUUUGUAGAAUGAACCGGCGAGUUACGAUUUGAUGCAAGGUUAAGCAGUAAAUGUGGAGCCGUAGCGAAAGCGAGUCUGAAUAGGGCGUUUAGUAUUUGGUCGUAGACCCGAAACCAGGUGAUCUACCCUUGGUCAGGUUGAAGUUCAGGUAACACUGAAUGGAGGACCGAACCGACUUACGUUGAAAAGUGAGCGGAUGAACUGAGGGUAGCGGAGAAAUUCCAAUCGAACCUGGAGAUAGCUGGUUCUCUCCGAAAUAGCUUUAGGGCUAGCCUCAAGUGAUGAUUAUUGGAGGUAGAGCACUGUUUGGACGAGGGGCCCCUCUCGGGUUACCGAAUUCAGACAAACUCCGAAUGCCAAUUAAUUUAACUUGGGAGUCAGAACAUGGGUGAUAAGGUCCGUGUUCGAAAGGGAAACAGCCCAGACCACCAGCUAAGGUCCCAAAAUAUAUGUUAAGUGGAAAAGGAUGUGGCGUUGCCCAGACAACUAGGAUGUUGGCUUAGAAGCAGCCAUCAUUUAAAGAGUGCGUAAUAGCUCACUAGUCGAGUGACACUGCGCCGAAAAUGUACCGGGGCUAAACAUAUUACCGAAGCUGUGGAUUGUCCUUUGGACAAUGGUAGGAGAGCGUUCUAAGGGCGUUGAAGCAUGAUCGUAAGGACAUGUGGAGCGCUUAGAAGUGAGAAUGCCGGUGUGAGUAGCGAAAGACGGGUGAGAAUCCCGUCCACCGAUUGACUAAGGUUUCCAGAGGAAGGCUCGUCCGCUCUGGGUUAGUCGGGUCCUAAGCUGAGGCCGACAGGCGUAGGCGAUGGAUAACAGGUUGAUAUUCCUGUACCACCUAUAAUCGUUUUAAUCGAUGGGGGGACGCAGUAGGAUA
rnacentral:rRNA from 1 species